AGUCAAAGCACACCCUCCCAAACUGAAGAAACUUAUGGACAAGAAGUUAUCAUUGAAGUUAAACGGAGGCAGACACGUACAAGGAAUGCCACAGGGCUUUGAUCCCUUUAUGAACCUUGUGAUUGAUGAGCGUGUGGAGAUUGCAAAUGGUAGGCAACAGAAUAACAUCGGAACGGUGGUCAGGUGGGGAAAUGGCAUCAUCAUGUCAGAAGCCUUGGAAAGAGUAG
rnacentral:lncRNA from 1 species